rnacentral:rRNA from 1 species
ACGAAGGUGGCAAGCGUUAUCCGGAUUUAUUGGGCGUAAAGGGUCCGCAGGUUGUUUGGCAAGUCAGUCGUCAAAUCCCGAAGCUCAACUUCGGGGCUGCGGUUGAAACUGCCAAGCUAGAGGGUGGAAUAGGCUAACGGAAUUGUCGGUGUAGUAGUAAAAUGCGUUAAUAUCGACAGGAACACCAACGGUGAAGACAGUUAGCUGGUACACUCCUGACACUGAGGGACGAAAGCGUGGGUAGCGAAUUG